GAUGAACGCUGGCGGCGUGCCUAAUACAUGCAAGUCGAGCGAACGGACGAGAAGCUUGCUUCUCUGAUGUUAGCGGCGGACGGGUGAGUAACACGUGGAUAACCUACCUAUAAGACUGGGAUAACUUCGGGAAACCGGAGCUAAUACCGGAUAAUAUUUUGAACCGCAUGGUUCAAAAGUGAAAGACGGUCUUGCUGUCACUUAUAGAUGGAUCCGCGCUGCAUUAGCUAGUUGGUAAGGUAACGGCUUACCAAGGCAACGAUGCAUAGCCGACCUGAGAGGGUGAUCGGCCACACUGGAACUGAGACACGGUCCAGACUCCUACGGGAGGCAGCAGUAGGGAAUCUUCCGCAAUGGGCGAAAGCCUGACGGAGCAACGCCGCGUGAGUGAUGAAGGUCUUCGGAUCGUAAAACUCUGUUAUUAGGGAAGAACAUAUGUGUAAGUAACUGUGCACAUCUUGACGGUACCUAAUCAGAAAGCCACGGCUAACUACGUGCCAGCAGCCGCGGUAAUACGUAGGAGGCAAGCGUUAUCCGGAAUUAUUGGGCGUAAAGCGCGCGUAGGCGGUUUUUUAAGUCUGAUGUGAAAGCCCACGGCUCAACCGUGGAGGGUCAUUGGAAACUGGAAAACUUGAGUGCAGGAGAGGAAAGUGGAAUUCCAUGUGUAGCGGUGAAAUCCGCAGAGAUAUGGAGGAACACCAGUGGCGAAGGCGACUUUCUGGUCUGUAACUGACGCUGAUGUGCGAAAGCGUGGGGAUCAAACAGGAUUAGAUACCCUGGUAGUCCACGCCGUAAACGAUGAGUGCUAAGUGUUAGGGGGUUUCCGCCCCUUAGUGCUGCAGCUAACGCAUUAAGCACUCCGCCUGGGGAGUACGACCGCAAGGUUGAAACUCAAAGGAAUUGACGGGGACCCGCACAAGCGGUGGAGCAUGUGGUUUAAUUCGAAGCAACGCGAAGAACCUUACCAAAUCUUGACAUCCUUUGACAACUCUAGAGAUAGAGCCUUCCCCUUCGGGGGGCAAAGUGACAGGUGGUGCAUGGUUGUCGUCAGCUCGUGUCGUGAGAUGUUGGGUUAAGUCCCGCAACGAGCGCAACCCUUAAGCUUAGUUGCCAUCAUUAAGUUGGGCACUCUAAGUUGACUGCCGGUGACAAACCGGAGGAAGGUGGGGAUGACGUCAAAUCAUCAUGCCCCUUAUGAUUUGGGCUACACACGUGCUACAAUGGACAAUACAAAGGGCAGCGAAACCGCGAGGUCAAGCAAAUCCCAUAAAGUUGUUCUCAGUUCGGAUUGUAGUCUGCAACUCGACUACAUGAAGCUGGAAUCGCUAGUAAUCGUAGAUCAGCAUGCUACGGUGAAUACGUUCCCGGGUCU
rnacentral:rRNA from 1 species